rnacentral:rRNA from 1 species
AAUUUAUUUUAUUAGAAGAAAUUUUUAAUUUUUUGAUUAUUUUGAUUUAAUAAGGAGAAUUCUAUGGGGAUGAGCUGGUAGAAUUGACUUAAAUUUUAAAAAUUGAAAAUGAGUAGUAGGAUUAAAAUUUUCUUUCUUUUUAGUAUUUUAUAAUUUAUCAUUAUUUAAUUAAUAUUUUUUAUUUUAUUAGGUUUUUUAUAAAAAUUUUAUAUUAAAUUUUUUAUUUUAAGUAAUAAUUAUGUAAUUAGUAAAGUUAUUUUUAAAUUUAUUUAAUUAGUGAGGUAAGUUUAAGGAAUUCGGCAAUUAGUUUUUCGCCUGUUUAAUAAAAACAUGGUCUUUUGAUUUUGAUUUAAGAUUUGACCUGCCCGCUGAAGUUUUGAAUGGCCGCGGUAAUUUAACCGUGCGAAGGUAGCAUAAUCAAUAGUUUUUUAAUUGGAAGCUGGAAUGAAUGGUUGGACGAGAAAGCUACUGUCUCAAUYUUAAUUUUUUUUGAAUUUUAUUUUUGAGUUAAAAAGCUUAAAUUUAGUUAAAAGACGAGAAGACCCUAUAGAGUUUUAUUUAAGAAUUUUUUUGCUAAUUAAGAUAAAUUGAAAAAUUUUUUAAAUUUUGUUGGGGUGACAUUAAGAUUUAAAAAACUCUUAAAAAUUAAUUUCAAUAAUUAUUGUUUUUUUGAUCCAAUUUUUUUGAUUAAUAGAUUAAAUUACCUUAGGGAUAACAGCGUUAUUUUUUUUGAGAGCUCUUAUCGAAAAAAAAGAUUGCGACCUCGAUGUUGGAUUAAAAUGAAC